rnacentral:rRNA from 1 species
AACGAACGCUAGCGGCAAGCUUAACACAUGCAAGUCAAACGAGUUAAAAUUUAGCUUGCUAAAUUUUAAUUAGUGGCAGACGGGUGAGUAACACAUGAGAAUCUACCUGAUAGUAAGGAAUAACUACCAGAAAUGGUGGCUAAUACCUUAUAUUCCCUGAGGGGGAAAGAUUUAUCGCUAUCAGAUGGGCUUGUGCUAGAUUAGCUAGUUGGUGGGGUAAUGGCCUACCAAGGCAAUGAUCUAUAGCUGGUCUGAGAGGACGUACAGCCACAUUGGAACUGAGAUACGGUCUAGACUCCUACGGGAGGCAGCA